GCGACCAUGGCGGAAUUGGCAGACGCGCUGGAUUUAGGUUCCAGUUCGAAAGAGUGCAGGUUCAACUCCUGUUAUCCGCACCA
rnacentral:tRNA from 1 species